AUGGCAGUGGGGUUCCGCCGGGCGCUGGACGCGCUCACGUCGCCCAAGUCGGCCCUGCUGGAGUGCGCGCGGCCCAAGAAACUGUCCUCCUACGCGCGCGUCCGCUCCAUCAGCCUCCCCGUCCGCCUCCACCCGCUGGUGGCCGCGCUGCAUGACUCGGCGCGCGCGCUGCUCCGGUGGGCGGACGAGCCCGCGCAGACGGGCCCCGCGUGGGUCGCCGACGGGGCCGACCGGGCCGGGCAGGUGCUGGCGGGCCUCUCCGCCAUGCUCCACCACCCGCAGGCGCGGGACGCGCUCCGCCGGCCCUGGACGGAGCAGCUGCUCGACGACCUGCUCCUCCUCGCCGACUUCCACGGCUGCUUCAGGGACUCGCUCGUCGCGCUCCGCCAGCUGCUCAACGAGACGCACUCCGCCCUGCGCCGCCGCGACGGCGUGCGCCUCGCCGCGGCGCUCCGCGCGCAGCGCCGCGCCGCCAGGGAGCUCUCCCGCCUCGCCUCCUCCGCGCGGGACCUCUGCCACCGCGCCGCCCCCGACGACGACGUGGACGAGAUCACGCUCGCCGACGCCUUCGCGGCCGCCACGGCCGCCGUGGCCGCCGCCUCCGCCGCCAUCUUCUCCGGCCUGUCAUCCGCCUCGGCCGAGUCCGCCGCGAGCGCCGCCCCGUCCCCGAGGACCCCGACGCCCUACUCCCCCGCCCGCGCCCCCGCCAGCCCGAUGUGGCUGGUGACGGACCUCCUUCGCCGGCGGAGAACCGUGUCGUUCUCGUUCGAGGAAUACUGCAACGAGGAGGAGGAGGAGAGGAAGGCGGCCAUGGGCCGGGUGCGCGGCCUCGAGGAGUGCGUGGCCGCCGCCGAGGGCAGCGGCGAGCAGGUGUACCGCGCGCUCGUGAACGCCAGGGUGUCGCUGCUCAACCUGCUCACGCCCACAUUCUGA
rnacentral:rRNA from 1 species